UUUCGCAAUGCCCGAAAGGGUGACGAAGCGACGCCGCGUGGGUGAGGAAGGCCCUCGGGUUGUAAAACCCUGUCAGGAGUUAAGAAAUGUAAGUGCGCUAAUAUCGCAUUUAUUUGACGAAGGCUCCAAAGGAAGCCACGGCUAACUCUGUGCCAGCAGCCGCGGUAAUACAGAGGUGGCAAGCGUCGUUCGGAAUUAUUGGGCGUAAAGAGCACGUAGGUGGGUUUGCAAGUCGGAAGUGAAAGCCUUCUGUUCAACGGAAGAAUUGCAUCUGAAACUGCAAGUCUUGAGUGUAGGAGGGGAGAAUGGAACUUCUGGUGGAGCGGUGAAAUGCGUAGAUAUCAGAAGGAACGCCGGCGGCGAAAGCGAUUCUCUGGCCUAUUACUGACACUCAGUGUGCGAAAGCUAGGGGAGCAAACGGGAUUAGAUACCCCGGUAGUCCUAGCCGUAAACGAUGGGCACUAAGUAGAGGGGUUUU
rnacentral:rRNA from 1 species